ensembl:snRNA U1 U1 spliceosomal RNA
AUACUUACCUGGCAGGGGAAACAUCACAGUCAGGAAGGUGGUUUGCCCAGGGCGAGGCUCAACCAUUGCAUUGGGGUUGUGCUGACCCCUGCGAACUCCCCAAAUGUGGGAAUCUUGACUGCAUAAUUUCUGGUAGUGGGGGACUGCGUUUGUGCUCUACCCUG